GCAAGUCGAACGAAGUCUUCGGACUUAGUGGCGGACGGGUGAGUAACACGUGGGAACGUGCCUUUAGGUUCGGAAUAACUCAGGGAAACUUGUGCUAAUACCGAAUGUGCCCUUCGGGGGAAAGAUUUAUCGCCUUUAGAGCGGCCCGCGUCUGAUUAGCUAGUUGGUGAGGUAAAGGCUCACCAAGGCGACGAUCAGUAGCUGGUCUGAGAGGAUGAUCAGCCACAUUGGGACUGAGACACGGCCCAAACUCCUACGGGAGGCAGCAGUGGGGAAUCUUGCGCAAUGGGCGAAAGCCUGACGCAGCCAUGCCGCGUGAAUGAUGAAGGUCUUAGGAUUGUAAAAUUCUUUCACCGGGGACGAUAAUGACGGUACCCGGAGAAGAAGCCCCGGCUAACUUCGUGCCAGCAGCCGCGGUAAUACGAAGGGGGCUAGCGUUGCUCGGAAUUACUGGGCGUAAAGGGAGCGUAGGCGGACAUUUAAGUCAGGGGUGAAAUCCCGGGGCUCAACCUCGGAAUUGCCUUUGAUACUGGGUGUCUUGAGUGUGAGAGAGGUAUGUGGAACUCCGAGUGUAGAGGUGAAAUUCGUAGAUAUUCGGAAGAACACCAGUGGCGAAGGCGACAUAC
rnacentral:rRNA from 1 species